rnacentral:rRNA from 1 species
AUGUAGGCGGCCAUGUAAGUCGGAUGUGAAAUCCCGAGGCUCAACUUCGGAACUGCAUCCGAGACUGUAUGGCUUGAGGAAGGUAGAGGAGAGUGGAAUUCCCGGUGUAGCGGUGGAAUGCGCAGAUAUCGGGAGGAACACCAGCGGCGAAGGCGGCUCUCUGGGCCUCUCCUGACGCUGAGAUGCGAAAGCGUGGGUAGCGAACAGGAUUAGAUACCCUGGUAGUCCACGCCGUAAACGUUGGGUGCUAUGUGUGGGGAUCAUUCCACGAGUUCCGUGUCGAAGCUAACGCAUUAAGCGCCCCGCCUGGGGAGUACGGCCGCAAAGCUAAAACUCAAAGGAAUUGACGGGGGCCCGCACAAGCGGCGGAGCAUGUUGCUUAAUUCGAUGCAACGCGAAGAACCUUACCUGGGCUUGACAUGCACGGUAAUCCUCUCAGAGAUGGUGUGUACUCCAAGGGCCGUGCACAGGUGGUGCAUGGUUGUCGUCAGCUCGUGUCGUGAGAUGUUGGGUUAAGUCCCGCAACGAGCGCAACCCUCAUUCUAUGUUGCCAGCAGCGUAAUGUUGGGGACUCAUAGGAGACUGCCGGGGUCAAAUCGGAGGAAGGUGGGGAUGACGUCAAAUCAUCAUGCCCCUUAUGUCUAGGGCUGCAAACAUGCUACAAUGGCCGGUACAAAGGGCUGCGAUACCGCGGGGUGGAGCGAAUCCCAAAAAGCCGGUCUCAGUUCGGAUUGGGGUCUGCAACUCGACCCCAUGAAGUUGGAGUCGCUA